rnacentral:rRNA from 1 species
CUACGGGCGGCUGCAGUAGGGAAUAUUGGACAAUGGGGGCAACCCUGAUCCAGCAAUGCAGCGUGUGUGAAGAAGGCCUGAGGGUUGUAAAGCACUUUUACUAAGGAAGAAGGUUCAAAGGUUAAUACCCUUUGGAAUUGACAUUACUUGGAGAAAAAGCACCGGCUAACUCUGUGCCAGCAGCCGCGGUAAUACAGAGGGUGCGAGCGUUAAUCGGAAUUACUGGGCGUAAAGGGUACGUAGGCGGAUAAUUAAGUCGGAUGUGAAAUCCCUGGGCUCAACCUAGGAACUGCAUUCGAUACUGAUGAUCUAGAGUACAGCAGAGGAAAGUGGAAUUUCUAGUGUAGCGGUGAAAUGCGUAGAUAUUAGAAGGAACACCAGUGGCGAAGGCGACUUUCUGGGCUGAUACUGACGCUGAGGUACGAAAGCGUGGGGAGCAAACAGGAUUAGAUACCCUGGUAGUC